GACCAAGGAGUCUAACAUGUAUGCGAGUCAUUGGAAAAUAUUAAAUCCAAAGGCAUAGUGAAAGUAAAGAUCCAAUUUUAUGGAUAUGAGGAGAGAUCAUGGCUUUAAUUCUUGAUAUUCUGUAAAGUUUAUUAAGUAAAGUAUGCGCAUCUCCUGGAUGUCUUAACCUCUGAAGGUAGGGCAUACCUAGAGCAUACACGUUGGGACCCGAAAGAUGGUGAACUAUGCCUGGUCAGAACGAAGUCAGGGGAAACCCUGAUGGAGGUUCGUAGCGAUUCUGACGUGCAAAUCGAUCGUCGGAACUGGGUAUAGGGGCGAAAGACUAAUCGAACCAUCUAGUAGCUGGUUCCCUCCGAAGUUUCCCUCAGGAUAGCUGGCGCUUGUAUCAGUCUCAUCCGGUAAAGCGAAUGAUUAGAGGCCUUGGGGCCGAAACGACCUCAACCUAUUCUCAAACUUUAAAUGGGUGAGAAGUUAGGCUUGCUUGAAAUUGAAGCUCUGACAAUGGAUGAUGAGUGCCAAGUGGGCCACUCUU
rnacentral:rRNA from 1 species